GCGAGCCGGGGCGCAGGGCCGGCCGGCAGCCGCUGCUCUUUCACAGCCCCAGACCCUGCGCGGCCUGCCGGCGGCUGGCGACCUCCCUUCCCCUCCCGAGGCGCCCGAGCCUCUGAUCCCCUCCCGGGGCGCCUGUGGCCUCCCUUCCCCUCCCGGGGCGCCCGAGCCUCUGAUCCCCUCCCGGGGCGCCUGUGGCCUCCCUUCCCCUCCUGGGGCGCCUGUGACCUCCCGUCCCCUCCCGCGGCUCCCGCGGCCUCCGACCUCCUGCCGGGGCGCCUCAAGGGCCCCUGCCCCACAUCAGAGGGUCUUGCGGUUUCCUGGUUUGGUUCAACAUCUCUGAAACCCAGAGGUGAAGAAGAAACCAUGGAGGAGAAUCCGAAACAGUCUUCCAGAUCAGACCUCUAAAAUAACUAAAUUCUUGUUAAUCAUUAGAUUCUCCCUUUUAUUUAAUGUGUAAGUCCAAGGGGAUUCCUUCUGCUUCCCCAUUCAAUUAGACAGCAACCUCUUCCUCUAAAGUUCUCUCAUCUGAAGCCAUCUGAGCAGGAGCACUUUGACCAACUCAAUUCUGCUCUGAUCUGGACUACUUCUCCCAGUUUAGGGAUCAGUAAAUUGCCAAACACUUCCCAAUUUAUCCCUGAAGGAAUCCCUGAAAAAUGAUGGCCUUUAUUCUCCCUCAGAGAGGGAGCUUGAGCUCUUGAGAAAGACAUGAAGGCCCUUGCCGCUGUCGGCAUCACUCCUUCCUCCCUAAUCCGGUCAGUUAAUUGCUGAGUGCUCGCUUCCUGAUCUGCGUGAUGGCCUCGGAACCGGGCUGCGUGUAGACCUGGGUGACUAUCAGCUCAGCUCCCAAGUGGAGGGCCUCGGAAGACGCUCUGUGCGGCCUACUAACAAGCACGAGACUACUGUGACCUGCUCCGUGCAACACAAUUAGAGGGUCAUUGAUAAUCGGAACCUAUCAAGAAGAGGACGCUGAAAGAAUACUGUAUUAUGUUGAAUGAGGAAUUGAAGGGAAGGAAGGCAUUUAGCAGACUGGAAAAAAACAGCAAGAGGACCCUAAACCUGUCUGAAUUUGCAAGGGUUUAAUAUUAAAAAGGUGACGGUACUUAUUUUAUGUGACUAUAUAUUGUAUGCCCCCACCCCCCCAAAAGCAGAAAUAAGACAAACGGGUAGAAGCUUUAGGAUGGCAGAUUCACAGCAGUUUAAUACGAGAAAGAACUUCUAACAGAACUGGUUGGAAAGGGAACAGGUUGUUUUUUUGUGUAUUAAUGGUGGAAAUCACAGGGAAUUUUCAAAAUGGAUGACCUUUGUGGUAAUGGUGGAGUUUGAAUUCAGUAAGGGUUGAAUUAGAUGACUUUCAAGAUCCUUCCAUUUCUAAAAGUUAUGAUUCUGUGACCCAGAAAGCCUAAUAGUUCUCCGACACCAGAAAGCAUGAAAGCUGGAAACCAGAUUAAAAAAAGAGCAGUCAGCCAAACAGUCAGAAGGUAGGUCAGGUGUACAGUAACAAAUUUAAGAUCUGAUUAUCUUUCAGUCUACCUAUCAUCAUUUAACUCUGGUAGACCAUGAAGUACAACACUCUCAGUGACUUACCACAUCCAUAGGUGCUCUGACUUAUUACAGAUAAAGAUAUCCAUUAUGCAUAAUUAGCUUCUUUAUCUGACUCAAAUCUGAAGCUAAAGAUUAUUCUGGACAUGAUUUCCUGGAUAGAUGGCCAGCUAAGUUGUGUUUCAGAUAGGAGGAUCACUUAAUUAACUAGGCAACACAGGUAUUUUAGUAUAUUAAUCACUUCCCUAGGUAGGCAAGUUCUAAAUCACCCUUUUCUCCUAUAUGAGGACACAUGGAGCUACUGUUUUCUGUUCCCGUGUUACUCUUUAAUCUCUGUCAGUGUUGUACUUUUGAACUUCCACUUUGUAACACUGCACUACACUAAACACUAUAUGUAGCAAGCAUUCUAUACGUUUGUAGAAGAUUUUAGUAAAUAUGUACUUUCAAAUGCUAUAUAACACAUCUGCAACUUGUUUUGCAAACUGGGGGUCUGAAGUCUUUGGACAAGUCUGCAUUCCACCACCUGCCAUAUGUGCUCCUUAACCUGGCUUCCAAUCUCAAAGCUGCAUUCACUUAUUUUAAAUCUUGAGGAGCAGGAUAGGUGUUGACAAUGUGUUACUUAGAAUGUUCCAAGUAUUCCCUAAUCUCUGGGUCAUUCCUGUCAAAACAGGAGUGUGACUACACAGUGACCAGGAUGCAAGCUGAUGAUAUUUUUGCUUCUAAUCUGAGAAAAGAAAUUGCUUUUGUGCAGACUGGUAUCUCUAGGGUGACUUUGUUCUAAAUGCUAAUAUCUUAUUCUAAAUAUCAUCAAUUGUCAAAUAUCUUUGAAAUAAAAUUCUGCAAAAAAAGUACACACUUCAGAAUUUCUGAAUAAAAAAUAUCAAACCA